rnacentral:rRNA from 1 species
CGACAGCGACCCCAGGUCA